UACAGAGGUCUCAAGCGUUGUUCGGAUUCAUUGGGCGUAAAGGGUGCGUAGGUGGCGCGGUAAGUCGGGUGUGAAAUUUCGGAGCUUAACUCCGAAACUGCAUUCGAUACUGCCGUGCUUGAGGACUGGAGAGGAGACUGGAAUUUACGGUGUAGCAGUGAAAUGCGUAGAGAUCGUAAGGAAGACCAGUGGCGAAGGCGGGUCUCUGGACAGUUCCUGACACUGAGGAGCGAAAGCGUGGGGAGCAAACAGG
rnacentral:rRNA from 1 species